AAAUUGAAGAGUUUGAUCAUGGCUCAGAUUGAACGCUGGCGGCAGGCCUAACACAUGCAAGUCGAACGGUAACAGGAAGCAGCUUGCUGCUUCGCUGACGAGUGGCGGACGGGUGAGUAAUGUCUGGGAAACUGCCUGAUGGAGGGGGAUAACUACUGGAAACGGUGGCUAAUACCGCAUAACGUCGCAAGACCAAAGAGGGGGACCUUCGGGCCUCUUGCCAUCAGAUGUGCCCAGAUGGGAUUAGCUUGUUGGUGAGGUAACGGCUCACCAAGGCGACGAUCCCUAGCUGGUCUGAGAGGAUGACCAGCCACACUGGAACUGAGACACGGUCCAGACUCCUACGGGAGGCAGCAGU
rnacentral:rRNA from 2 species